UUUUUUUUUUUUUUUUUUUAGGGCCGCACCUGUGGCAUAUGGAAGUUCCCAGGCUAGGGGCCUAAUCAGAGCUGCAGCUGACAGCCACGGCCACUGCAACACGGGAUCCAAGCCACGUCUGCAACCUACACCAGAGCUCUCAGCAACACUAGAUCCUUAACCCACUGAGUGAGACCAGGGAUCAAACCUGCAUCCUCAUGGAUACUAGUCAUGUUCUUGACCUGUUGAGCCACAACGGGAAGUCCCUUUUGCCAUUCUUUUAAAUGAAUUUUUUCUAUAUCUGCUGAUAUAUUUGGUUAGUAUUAUUGAACAUUAAUCAGUGUGAUGGCUGCAAAGAACAAAAAGCUACUUGAGGUCUUAGGAUUUGCAAGUCAGGAGACAGAGAUCAGGUAAAACCAAGAGUGUUCUGGGGAAAAGAAAGAGUAAGGGGCUUAUCAAGGCAAAAGCCCACGAGGUUGCUAAAGUUGUUUGGCAAGAAUUAUGAUUGGCUCUGGUGCAAAAAGGAAAGAUUUAGCCUUAAGGGAUAGGCUGCCACGAGUUCUUUUGGGUAGGAGACUAGGUAUUUUGAGUUUCUGGAACACUGUGCACAUGUCCUGGAUGCCGGCAUGAGGACGAUAAGGUGGUGACUGCUCAGACUCCAUCUAGGUUGAGAUACGCUGAAGUCCCACUUCCUCUGUGGCCUCCCAAUUCCAUUUGAGAGAGAUCUCCCAGCCAUACCAAAGCCGUUUAGAUUUUCCUUUCACAGUAGGGGACAAAUACUGUCACUAGGGGACAAUACUGUCACACGACUGGUGGAAUGGACUGCCUCCAACAGGUCUUAGCUAUCGGUCAUCCUUUGCGCACUGAAUCUUUACAAUUUCAUCUCCUCCCUUCCCCAGAGUACCGCCUGGAGAUUGGAGAGUCUCUUAUGAUUGCACCUCCUCUUCUCGAGGCAAACCAUGCUCUUGUUUAAGUUGUGCCCGUGUGUUGGACUGGACUUAGGGUUUCCAGUAACCUUUCACGAUAGGGACACACACAGCCUUCCCAGAUGUCAGCUCUAUACAUCACCCUCCGGUGAGGCCCUGCCUCCAUUCUGUAAAAUAUCUUAGGAUUCAGACUGUACGGAUCUCUGGGACUACUGGGAGAAUUUCUAGGCUUUCUCUGUGGUGUACAAUACGGGAAGAAUCAGCGUAGAUGUCUCUUUCCCCGUUGCUAGUGUCCUCAGUGGCUAGAAUGGUGUCUAGUUCACACAGACACCCCACAUUAUAAGUAAACAAAUGAAUGCCACCACACUUUCCAUGUCUUUUAAAUAUCACAGUAGUUUCUCAUGUGUACUUUUUUUCACUUUUGAGAAAGCUUUAAUCAUGCUAGUGCCUUAACAGGCAAGGCCUUGAGAAAAUGGCACAAUUGUGAAUGGCUGAGCCUUUGGAUGAGUGGAUAUUAUUCAACUAUAAAAAAGGGGAAAAAUCCUGCCACUUGUGAUAAUUUGGAUGGAUACUGAGGGAAUUUUGCUGUAUGAGAUAAAUCAGAGACGCGAACACUGUAUGAUUUCACUUACAUAUAGAAUCUAAAAAAUCAAACUCAGAGGGAGAAGAACGGCGGUUGUCAGGGGCUGGGAGGUAAGGGAGAUGGGGAGCUCUUGGUAAGAGGUACAAACUUGCAUUUAUAAGAUAAAUAGGUUCUGGGGAUCUAAUGGACAGCUUGACCACUCUAGUUAAUAAUACUGUAUUGUCUUAUGUACUUGAAAGUUACUAAUAAAGUGAUCUUCACUGCUCUUGUCAUAAAAAUGGAUGGUAAUUAUGUGAAGUGACUGAGAUAUUACCAACCUCAUUAUGGUAGUCAUUUUGAAAUAUAUACAUUUAUCAAAUCAUCCCAUUGUAUGGAGCAGGAUAGGGAGCCCAGAAAUAAACCCAUGAGCUGAUGGUCAGUUAAUCUAUGACAAAAGAGGCAAGAAUACACAACGGAGAAAAGACAGUAUCUGAAAUAAUGAUGCUGCAAAAAUUGGACAACUGCAUGUAAAAGAACAAAAUUAAAACUUUCUCUAACACCACGCACAAAAAUAAACUCAAAAUGGAUUCAAGACCUAAAUAUAAGACUGAUACUAUAGGAGUUCCCGUCUGUGGCAAGAAAAAAAUGUCUAAAUAAAAUCAAUGUCCCCUGGAGGAUAAAACCACCCCCGGUUGAGAACUACAGUUCUAGGUCAAUGAGGCCCAACCUUCUGGGUUAUACACACUUUGGGUAAUCUCAUGAUAUUACUAUACACUUUCUCUCCCCCACCAAAACUGACAUUUAAAAUUUCCUAAAUACUUCAAUAUACUAUGUCAAGGGGUUUGUGGUCCCCUGAAACCAAAAAUGGAAUCAGAGGAACGCGGGUUAAGAAUUUCUAUUCUAAAUCACUUGAGCAUCUCACUCAUUUUCUU
rnacentral:lncRNA from 9 species